GACGAACGCUGGCGGCGUGCUUAACACAUGCAAGUCGAACGGAAAGGCCCUGCUUUUGUGGGGUGCUCGAGUGGCGAACGGGUGAGUAACACGUGAGUAACCUGCCCUUGACUUUGGGAUAACUUCAGGAAACUGGGGCUAAUACCGGAUAGGAGCUCCUGCUGCAUGGUGGGGGUUGGAAAGUUUCGGCGGUUGGGGAUGGAAUCGCGGCUUAUCAGCUUGUUGGUGGGGUAGUGGCUUACCAAGGCUUUGACGGGUAGCCGGCCUGAGAGGGUGACCGGCCACAUUGGGACUGAGAUACGACCCAGACUCCUACGGGAGGCAGCAGUGGGGAAUAUUGCACUAUGGGCGGAAGCCUAAUGCAGCAAAGCCGCGUGCGGGAUGACGGCCUUCGGGUUGUAUACCGCUUUCGCCUGUGACGAAGCGUGAGUGACGGUAAUAGGUAAAGAAGCACCGGCUAACUACGUG
rnacentral:rRNA from 1 species